rnacentral:ncRNA from 1 species
GGAAUCAGUACACAUAACCAAUACCUGGCCCAGACAUGGAAAGGACUGACAUUAAUACCUCUUUCAUGAUUCUGAGGGUGGUGGUGCAUGGUCGUUCGUAGUUGGUGCAGUGAUUUGUCUGUUUAAUUCCAAUAACAAAUGAGACUCUGUCAUGCUAACCAAUAUGCAGUCCUGGAGUGGUUGGCAUCCCAACUUCUUAGAGAGACAAGUGGCAUUCAGUCACCCGAGAUUGAGCAAUAAGAGGCCUGUGAUGCCCUUAGAUGUCUGGGGCUGCAUGAUUCC